rnacentral:rRNA from 1 species
UUUCUAAACUCCCAACCCUUUGUGAACUUACCUUUGUUGCCUCGGCGGGGCCUACCCUGUAACGACCCCUUUUGGGGGAGCUACCCUGUAGCCCGCCGGUGGAUUUUCAAACUCUUGUUAUUUUAGUAGUAUCUGAGCGUCUUAUUUUAAUAAGUCAAAACUUUCAACAACGGAUCUCUUGGUUCUGGCAUCGAUGAAGAACGCAGCGAAAUGCGAUAAGUAAUGUGAAUUGCAGAAUUCAGUGAAUCAUCGAAUCUUUGAACGCACAUUGCGCCCAUUAGUAUUCUAGUGGGCAUGCCUGUUCGAGCGUCAUUUCAACCCUUAAGCCUAGCUUAGUGUUGGGAGUCUACUGGUGGUAACUCGUUUACCUUGUAGUUCCUAAAAUGAAACGGCGGAUCCGCAGUAUCCUCUGAGCGUAAUAAGUUAUUAUCUCGCUUCUGUUUAGGUGCUGUGGUUCUUGCCGCUAAACCCCCAAUUUUUAAUGGUUGACCUCGGAUCAGGUAGGAAUACCCGC